rnacentral:SRP_RNA from 1 species
GCUGGGCAUGGUGGCGCGUGCCUGUAAUCCCAGCUACUCAGGAGGCUGAGGCAGGAGAAUUGCCUGAACCCAGGAGGCGGAGGUUGCGGUGAGCCGAGAUCGCGCCAUUGCACUCCAGCCUGGGUAACAAGAGCUGGCUUUAUGUUUUACGUUCUUAACCCCUUUAACUUUUCUUUAAACAGAGAAUUGUUUUUUUCCUUGGAGACAGAGUUUUACUUUUGUCACCCAGGCUGGAGUGUAGUGGUGCGAUCUUGACUUAAUGCUACCUCCGCCCUCCUGGGUUCAAGCAAUUCUCCUGCCUCA